AUUGAACGCUGGCGGCAGGCCUUACACAUGCAAGUCGAGCGGAGCGGCGGACGGGUGCGUAAUGCCUAGGUAUCUGCCUGGUAGUGGGGGAUAACGAUAGCAAACGGGCGCUAAUACCGCAUACUAUCAGAUGAGCCUAGGCCGGAUUAGCUUGUUGGUGGGGUAAAGGCCAACCAAGACGACGAUCCGUAACUGGUCUGAGAGGAUGAUCAGUCACACUGGGACUGAGACACGGUCCAGACUCCUACGGGAGGCAGCAGUGGGGAAUAUUGGACAAUGGGCGAAAGCCUGAUCCAGCCAUGCCGCGUGUGUGAAGAAGGUCUUCGGAUUGGAAAGCACUUUUGGUUGGGAAGCGUUACCAACAGAAUAAGCACCGGCUAACUUCGUGCCAGCCGCCGCGGUAAUUC
rnacentral:rRNA from 1 species